rnacentral:rRNA from 1 species
AUUGAACGCUGGCGGGAUGCCUUACACAUGCAAGUCGAACGAGUGGCGGACGGGUGAGUAAUAUAUCGGAACCUGCCCGAUAGCGGGGGAUAACUACUGGAAACGGUGGCUAAUACCGCAUACCAUCGGCUCUGCCCAUAUGGGAUUAGCUAGUUGGUGGGGUAAAGGCUCACCAAGGCCACGCUCCGUAGCUGGUCUGAGAGGAUGACCAGCCACACUGGGACUGAGACACGGGCCAGACUCCUACGGGAGGCAGCAGUGGGGAAUUUUGCACAAUGGGGGAAACCCUGAUCCAGCCAUGCCGCGUGUAUGAUGAAGGCCUGCGGGUUGUAAAGUACUUGUGGCAGGGAAGCGGUAUCUGCAGAAUAAGCACCGGCUAACUCCGUGCCAGCAGCCGCGGUAAUUC